rnacentral:rRNA from 1 species
GUUUGAUCAUGGCUCAGAUUGAACGCUGGCGGCAGGCCUAACACAUGCAAGUCGAACGGUAACAGGAAGCAGCUUGCUGUUUCGCUGACGAGUGGCGGACGGGGGAGUAAUGUCUGGGAAACUGCCUGAUGGAGGGGGAUAACUACUGGAAACGGUAGCUAAUACCGCAUAACGUCGCAAGACCAAAGAGGGGGACCUUCGGGCCUCUUGCCAUCGGAUGUGCCCAGAUGGGAUUAGCUAGUAGGUGGGGUAACGGCUCACCUAGGCGACGAUCCCUAGCUGGUCUGAGAGGAUGACCAGCCACACUGGAACUG